rnacentral:misc_RNA from 1 species
CCUGCCUACAUGUCAUCUUAUCACCUUUGAUUCCAAUUUGGAUGUGUGCGAACUUGGAGUAAAGCACAACAAUGGUUGACGUGUCAGCCAUGCUUCUUCGUGAUGACUUCAGCCACGCACCCACCAUUAACCUCCAUAACCAUUCCUCACUUCUAUAAUAUCUGUUUCAUCCUCUGCGCACACCAUCCACAAACCUUCAAGAAUCCUGAUUUGUAUAUACCACAACGAAAAUGGAAGCCAAGUCCAUUGUUUCCUCUGCUACCUUCACUAGUUCCACUCUUGCUCCAGUUUUUCGCUCUGAUGAUCUCAAUAACAGUAAGCUUUUGCCAUUGCCUUUACGGGUUAAUCCACGGAGAUGGACUGUUGGUGUCAAUCACAAAAGCUUCAGCUUCUGUAUUGAUGUUGUGAAGCACCAAGGCCAGUCUGAGAGAGAAUUCGGAAGCUGUUGGAGUUCCAACUUCGGUGCCUGUACGAGUUGCACAUGAACUUCUUCUCGCUGGACACCGGUAUUUGGACGUCAGGUAUUUGGUUCUGGGAGAUUCGUUUUUUCUUUUAUUGUUUUUGGAAGCGAAAUCUGUAUUGCUUAUUGGCCUGUGAGAAACAAGAAAAGCAAUUUCUUUUGGUUAUGGACUUAUGGUGACAUUUGCAGGACUCCUGAAGAGUUCAGUGCUGGACAUGUGGUAGGGGCAAUUAACAUACCAUAUAUGUACAGAGUUGGAUCAGGUUAUUCUCAUCUUUUCUUGAAUGUAUCAGGCAAUCUGGUUGUUCUCCUAUUUGUUCUAUGGAAAUAAUUCUCUUAUAUGGAUUUAAUCCAGCAUGUUUUGGCAGUCAUGCUCACAUUAUUUGUGAUGACUACGAUUCUACAUUAGAUUGGAAUUCCAAGUUUUUUUUUCCCUUUUCUUUGUCAGGUGCUGAUUGGUAAUUUUGAAUAGUAGUAAUAUUACAACUUGAAGCUCUUUGGAUUUGUGGUCACUCGGGAAGAAAUGCAUUAUUUUGUGAUUAAGUUGUCAAUAUUUUUUAAGAUCAUCAACACCUUAUAUGUUAAAUUUCUCUCUCAAUUGUUGUUUUGCUUCUUGACGUAGGAAUGUCUAAGAACCCCAAAUUUCUGGAGCAAGUAUCUUCACAUUUUGGAAAAUAUGAUGAAAUUAUUGUUGUGAGUCUCUGACCCUAAAAUAUUAGUUUGUUUCCAACCAUUAAUUUCUGUAUUUUUCUCCUGGUAUGGUCUGUAACUUCCUGCAUUUACAGGGUUGCCAAAGUGGGAAAAGAUCUAUGAUGGCUGCAACCGAUCUUUUAGCUGUUGUAAGCGCAUCAUCCUGAAGAUAUUGAGCUUGAAAUUGAUUCAAUUGUCUUUUACAUCAUAGUUUGGUAGAAUAUGAAACAUCAAGUGGGUGUUUAUGAAAGUUUGCUUUGAAGGCACAGGAUGAAUUGCUUUGCUCACCUAAAAAUAAUAGAAUAAUUUCAGCAGAGAUUUGUACUUAUUGGCAGCAAACCAAUUCCCAAAGCUAAGGAAUCAAACCUAAUUUUCAAUGAAAAUGCCAAGUUCUGGUAUACUCAUCACAAGAAGUCAACAAAACUUAUACAAAGAACACAACCUUGGGAAGCCAUAGAAUAGCAAUCCAUAGAUUUUUGGGUGACACAGUUUGUUAAAUUGAGUGCAUUAGAUGUAUGCUUAUUCGAUUAAACCGAACUUGCAAUCUUCUUCUGCAGGGUUAUACUGCCAUUACUGAUGUUGCUGGUGGAUUUACUGCAUGGACACAGAAUGGACUUCCAACAGAAAAUUGAUGUAUUUUGGUGGGAAUCAUAAAUCCUGUAGCUACCAUAAGUUUUUAGUUGACGAUUAGCAGAGAAGGUUUAUGUGAAGAAGAACAUUUUUCAACAAUAUAUAUUAAUUAACAGUAGACAGUACUACUACAGAGAAUCUUGUAAGGCAUAGUGAGCUUAUAUGGAGAGAUGCUGUUUUCAUGGAAAACCAGUAUCAUCAAAUUGUACUGUUGUAAAUGUCAUGGAAAACAAAAUAAUAUGUCAACUUAAUUUGUACAUAAAUCCUUUUCUUUCCUCUGA